GUAGGCCUUGCGUUCGCCGCUGCCCCGCAGCGCGCGCUCUGCUCCGCUCUGCCGCGCGAUGUCGCCGGGGGCGCCGCCGCCGUUCGCCGUCGCUUCCCUCACCCACCAAUGCUCCGUCCUUCUCCGCCGCCUCGCCGAGGGCUACUCCCCGGCGCCGGCCUACGCCUCCACGUUCCUCCGCGCCCUACGCUGCCUCCACGCCCG
rnacentral:lncRNA from 1 species